GACGAACGCUGGCGGCGUGCUUAACACAUGCAAGUCGAGCGGUAAGGCCCUUUCGGGGGUACGACGAGCGGCGAACGGGUGAGUAACACGUGGGUGACCUGCCCUCAGCUCUGGGAUAAGCCUGGGAAACCGGGUCUAAUACUGGAUAUGACUCCAUGACGCAUGUUGUGGGGUGGAAAGCCUUGUGCGGCUGAGGAUGGGCCCGCGGCCUAUCAGCUUGUUGGUGGGGUGANGGCCUACCAAGGCGACGACGGGUAGCCGGCCUGAGA
rnacentral:rRNA from 1 species